CCUUAAGAAAGAUUGAAAUACAUUCAAACUGAAGGAGGAUAUUUCCUGUGAUCACUUGUUUUCAAUUUGAGAACAAGACACUGCAGUUACUUCAUCAGUGUGUUAUUGCAAAUAGAUAAGUCUCAAAAUUGGCAGUCCUUUGUUGUUGUGUACACUGUUAAAAAUUGCUGUUAAUUUACGGCAGAAUUUCAACAGUAUAAUCCUGUUAUGUUCAAAAGCAGUACAUUACUGUUUUUUUCGUUUUUGUGAAAUGACGUAGACACAAUAUAACGGCAUUCUACUGUAUUUAUAACUCGAAGGAAAUAAAACAUUACUAUCCAGUAUUUUUGUAAACUGCAGUGAGCACGCCGGGACUUUCAUCCGUCUUGUUAACAGGCAAGUUCCCCUUUGCUUUGCGCGAUUUCAUAGACAAAAUACAUUACAUUUGCUACUGUAACUAAUCUGUAUAGUGGAUAUCGGAAGUGACACUAUCUUUUAUUUGCUCUUUUCAGUGAUAAACGCGCCAAAUGCGACAUCAUCGAGUGCAACUGGAUUUCUGACUCUGUGACUCGGAUUAUAUUAUUCCCAAUUACAGGGUUCAGGUGAAACACCAGGAAGAAGAAUCCAGCACUGGAUGAUCAGCCUUGAGGAGCACAUCAUUUGUGAGGGCAUCCAGCCGGCUUUUCUGUCUGGGCUUGCAGCUGAUUUUUCUACUUACAACAAUUUCAAUCUUCAAUACCAAGCUGAAGACGCAUGCACGUUGGAAUUUAUUCAAAGGUGGUUCAUCGAGAUAAAUCCGGAAAAGGGACCAGGGCUGGAGGAGUCAUAUCAAAGCUGAUGGGGAAGGUCACCCAGAAAAAGAAAACCGUGAACCCUCGUGUCUGCAGUCUACUUAAAAAAAUUUAUGGAUUUUGAGUUGGACUUUAUACAAGUAUUACACACCACAGA